UACCGCCCCGCGGCCAUGGAGGAGUUCCGGCGGGGCUACGCGCGGCUGUGCGCGGCGCCGCAGGAGGCCGUGCUGCGGCGGCUGAGGGAGCGCGGGGAGGCGCCGGGCCGCGCCCGCCUGGACCUGGCGGAGCAGAGCCUCUCGCUGGAGACGUGCGGAGCGCUGGGCCGGCUGCUGCCCGGCGCCGCUCCCUUCGCUGAGCUGGCGCUCGGAGACUGCGGCCUGAGCGAGGACGGCGUGAAACUCCUGUUGCACGGUCUGUGUUCCAAUACCACCGUCAAAUCUUUGGAUUUGAAGGGCAAUAACCUGCGAACCACGGGAGCUGAGGCACUGGGAAAACUUCUUAGGCAGAACAAAUCCAUCAGGAGCCUAAUCCUGGAAUGGAACAGCCUGGGCAUGUGGGAGGAAGGCUUCUCCUUUUUCUGCCAGGGACUGGGAGCAAACAACUUUCUCCAGCGGCUAGAUCUGCGCAAUAACCAGAUCAACCAUCACGGGGCAGGAGAGCUGGCCGUGGCACUGAAACGAAACGCCAGCCUUCAGGAGUUGGAUUUACGUUGGAAUAACAUCGGGCUUCUGGGUGGCCGAGCUUUGUUAAACUGCCUGCAGAGCAACAAGACCCUGAAGAAGCUGGAACUGGCUGGGAACAAUGUUCCCAGUGACAUCCUGAAAGCUGUGGAACAAGCCAUGGAUCACAACCGGGACCGUCAGACUAUCCUCAGCGAGACACAGAACCGAACUUGCGUGCUCAGCAAGGAGAUAUUGAAUCUGAAGGAUGAGAAGACCAAGCAGUUCUUGGAUUUGAUGGACACUAUAGACAAACAGAGAGAAGAGAUAGCCCGAAGCAGCAGGAUAUCUGCGGGACGUGUCAGCCAGCUGCAGGAAGCGUUGAAUGAGCAGCACUCUAUUAUGAAUUCACUGAAAGCCAAGUUGCAGAUGACUGAAGCGGCCCUGGCUCUGUCUGAGCAAAAGGUGCACAACCUGGGAGAGCUGCUGAGUGCCACGAAACAGGAGCAAGCCAGCAUGGCUGAGCGCCACUUUGCGGAGCUCCAGCAGCAAAAGCAGGAAGGUGCUGAUCGGGAAGGCAAGCUUUUCCGUGACUUAUCUGCCUGCAAUGAGAAGAACUUGUUACUAAGAAACCAGGUGGAUGAGUUGGAGAAGAAGUGCAAAGUGCAGCAGGAUCAGUUAUUCCAGCUAAAACAGGACUUGACCAACACAACAGCGGAGCUGAAGCUGCGGGCUGUGCAGGCUGAGGAGCGCCUAGAAAUGGAAAAAAGAAGAUUUAAACAAAGUCUUGAAGACAUGGAAUCACUUCGCUUAAAAGAGGUGGAUCAUUUGACACAGCACAUGGAGGCCAGUGAACGUUCUAUGCAAGAUAGAGUCCAGAGGCUGGAGGCCAUCAGGAUAGCCCUGGAGGAGGAGCUGAGCCAAGUCAAAGCAGCUGCGCUCACUGAGCGAGGCCACGCGGAAGAAGAGUUAAUAAAAGUUCGGAAUCAGGCACGGUUGGAUGAGCAGCAGCGGCUGGAACACCUUGAAGAGAAGCUGAGGCUGAUGACUGAAGCACGGGACGAAGCUCAGAACUGCUGCCUCAAACAGAAACAGAUGGUUGGUGAGGCCCAAGCCAAGGCCAAUCAAUUGAGCCUGCAUGCUGAUGGACUCAGAAGGCGAAUAGAGGAACUUCAGCAGGACCUGAACAGUAAGGAACAGGAAAAAGUGACAGAAGUAAAUAAAGUGAAAGUGGAAUUGCAGGAGCAGAUUGGACACCUACAGGCUGAGCGCACAGCACAGGAAGGGCUGAGAGAGAAGAUUGCAGCCCUGGAGAGACAGCUGAAAGUCCUGUCAAGUAAUCACCGAGAGGCACUGCUGGACAAAGAAGGUGAAAUCUCUAUGUUGAUGGAGAAGCUGAGAAUGAAAGAGGCUGACAUCUCCAGGAUGAGGGAGGAAGAAGCCCAGCGAGCAAGUAUAUUGCAGAAUGCCAUCAUGGCAUACGUGCAGGGAUCCUCCUUGGGAACCCACAGUUCGAGGAAAUGAAAGUGUGGCUUAAAGAAUCCAGGUACCUGCUGUCAGGAAAAGCACAAGCUACUCAGGUACAGCCCGUUCCUUGUAAGCAAGGCAGUUUUGUCAGAGCGGGGUGACCUGAAGGCUUGCAAGCAGAAAGCCCCACUUGUUCAGAAAUCUUGCUCCCAGCAGCAUAAAGGAGGAAUGAGCCAUACUCAGCUAGGAUAGAGGCUUGUGGGUCUGAGUUUGUGAUGAAGAGCCCUUACCCUGCACCGAUACAGCAUUUGAAGCCGUUUCUGUGCUCUUUUAUACAGUGCCAAUCUGUCAGCACGCUCUGUUAUUACCAGUGGGAUUUUAUGUUCCCUGAGAAGCGGUUGUUCUGAAGCACUUGUUUGGAUACCAGGGCUGUUCACAACGCAGCCUUGUAAAUGACGGGUAGCAGUGUUUACGGUUCCCUGGAUGUGGGAACCAUUUAUUUUACUCUGAGCCACGGGGUCCAGAAGUUGCUGGAAAGACAAAUCUCUGUGUGCCCAGUGGUUAUGGGCGCAAGCAGUGGCUGACAGUUCACUUUGGCUUUUUGCCUUGUCCCUCUGUGGCCCUGGCUGUAGUGAUGGGCAGCACAGGAACAUUUCUAACACACAGGAACAGCUGUAUGGAGAGGGACUGCUGUGCAGUGGCACUCCGUAUCCCAGCUGGACACCUGGUUUUGGGCCAUGGUUCACACCUCUACCAAGUGACACAGCAAGAGAGGAGUCUGCUUUCUUCCUUGUUGUGGAGUUCAGCCCUUCAUUAGAGUUCUCGUGGCCAAAAUGCAAUGAGAUUUAAGUCCACUAUGACUUAUGGCAAAACCGUCCUCCUAGCUUCUCGGGACCCCAGAACCGAGUCAUUUUUGGGGCCGUACCCUAGAGGUGAGCGGUGGUUCUGACUGGCCGGGGAGGAGCAGUUUCAGUUCCUUGGCCGCAGAGAUCCCUCAGGUGGCAGGCACCGAGAAAGGGGAGAGCUUGGACAGGACUCCCAGAUCAGAUCCUCCUGCUGCUUUCUCCAGCGAGUCUGUGUGGGAAGAAUGAAUGUUUGAAGAGCCAACUGGACAACAAAACUUUGCGUGGACUGCUGGCUGCUGGGCUGGCGCGGAGGGGCAUUGCUGCUGCGCUGCUCUCUGGGAGAUCCCGUCCGUCUGUCCUGGAGCUGAAAGCUCUCUGAGGUGUGUGGGGCACAGGAGCUGAAGCCAGAUUAUUAUGGAUGUGUUGAGGGACAGCACGCCCAGCACGUAACCCCAGUUUAUUUCCCCUCUUGGUUUUGGAACAAAUGCAUUUUGCCUGGUGUUUUGCUGAGGCCAAUGGAGUGGAGAAAAGGAGUAGAAGAGAACAGUAUCAGAUGCAUGCUGAGGUGGAAUGCUUCUGAGCUGUAGGGAAGACCUGCUUGCUGAUCAGUUACACCACGAAUGCCUUUCCUGGAGAGUACAUCCCCACUGUGUGA